ensembl:snRNA U6 U6 spliceosomal RNA
AUGUUAACAAAGACAGGAUUCACCUACAGAUUGGAACAAUACAGAGGCCAUCAGCACAGUCCCUGUGCAAGGAUGACAAUACAAAUGCAUAAUGUGUCCCAUGUCUUU